rnacentral:lncRNA from 1 species
AAAAAACUUGCGCCCUUGUUAACAUGUUUGGUACCAAAAAUUAUUUUACAGUGUAAGAUUGUACAAAAAACAAUAGAUGUCCCAGCCUUAUCUCUACGCACGACAGAGUAGAGGUCAAGUGCACAUUGUUAAAGAAUGAUAUUGUCAGUCUUGUGCAUGGAUGGAUGGAUAUUCCCUGCGAAAAUUAAUUCCCACAAAUAAACAUAUCUUCUUUGCUGAAUGUAGCUUCACCAAUCAAACCUAAAGAAUUCAAUAAAAAAAUCAAUCAUUGACUUCACAUGGAAUCAAACUUCGUAUGCACGUGAAUGUAUGCACGUGAAUUGUUGCCUAAAACCGGUAGAACAAACAUGUUCAACUGAAUUGUGUAUGACACUGGAUCAACUUAUAAUCUUACUUAUAGACUAAAAUGUAUGAUGCUUAUAAACUGAAAUAUAUUUUUUUAGAGCAGAUAAAAAAGAAUGUACAGGGACUGCCAGUUGCAUAAUUGAUGGUUACAUGAAACAUCUAAAUUUUUAAGAAUCAAACAUGAUCUAAGGAAGCGAAACACAUCUGCAAGUAUCUAAUAAUAAAAUCCAUAUGAAAGACAACCUCUAUUGUUUGAAAAAUUGUCAGUUCCACUCCUUUGUUUCAAUAGGAAUUGCCAGUUAGUCCAGCACAUCCCCUUUGUCAUAGAUCAGUAGAAGGCAAAACUGGAUACACAUUUAUGUGGGCCUACUCCUAUCAUAGUUUAUACAGAGUAAAAAACUGAGAUUACAUAUGCCUACAUAAUAAGAUUCCUGUGCAUCAUCGUGUUCUUACUUUGAAAUAUGGUAGCAGCAAAUUGAAAGAUUCUGAUGUGUUAGUUUUGGCACAAUGGAAAAUUCAGUCCAUGUACCUAUACUCAACACCAGUUAUCAUGGUCACCUCAUCUUGAUUGAGUACUUUUCUCAAAAAAAAAUCUUGAUUGAGUACUAAUCAAGUAGCAGCAAGUUGAGUAAAACCAACGUAUUUCAGUCACUAUCUUGUGAAUUUUUUAGCCCUAAGAGUAAGGAAAGCAUCUGAACAGAUCUUAGUAUUCCAAAACUAAAAUUAACAGACCUACAACAUGCAUGUUUCUAUAUAACCAAUCUGCAAGCAAUAUCUCUUUUGAGGAUUACAUCAAGACUUAGGCCGACGUCAAGGCUGCAUCAUUUUCCUUCCAGAGCAGAGCAUGUAAUUGGUCCGCGACACCAUCCGCAACCAUAAGGUCUCUGUGAGCUUCGGCAGAUUUAAUAUCAACAAUAAUUGGGUAGGAUAAUGAUCUGCUUACAAAAUCAACCCCUAGCUCAUUUCCCCACUGCGUAGUCGAUCUCCACCACCAGGGAGCCUCGAAAUACCUUAUACAAUUCCUUUAGUCCAACAAAAAUAGCGCUAGCUUUGGCCACCUUGACAAUUAUUCAUGCACCCAGCCGCCUAU